rnacentral:rRNA from 1 species
CCUGGCUUAGGAUGAACGCUAGCGACAGGCCUAACACAUGCAAGUCAGGGGCAGCACAAGGAGCAAUCUGAGGUGGCGACCGGCGCACGGGUGAGUAACACGUAUGCAACCUGCCUGUAAGCGGGGAAUAACCCGUUGAAAGACGGACUAAUACCGCAUAAUACUAAAUUACUGCAUGGUAAUUUAUUUAAACAUUUAUGGCUUACAGAUGGGCAUGCGCAUGAUUAGCUAGUUGGAGAGGUAACGGCUCCCCAAGGCAACGAUCAUUAGGGGUUCUGAGAGGAAGGUCCCCCGCACUGGUACUGAGACACGGACCAGACUCCUACGGGAGGCAGCAGUGAGGAAUAUUGGUCAAUGGACGAGAGUCUGAACCAGCCAAGUCGCGUGCAGGAAGAAAUGUCCUAUGGAUUGUAAACUGCUUUUGCAGGGGAAUAAAGUGCAUCACGUGUGAUGUUUUGUAUGUACUCUGCGAAUAAGGAUCGGCUAACUCCGUGCCAGCCGCCGC